GCGAGGGUUGCCAAGCUAGGCCAACGGCGGCGGGCUUAAGACCCGCUCGUGUAGACGUCCAUGGGUUCGAAUCCCAUCCCUCGCA
rnacentral:tRNA from 3 species